rnacentral:rRNA from 1 species
AUUGAACGCUGGCGGCAUGCCUUACACAUGCAAGUCGAACGGUAACGGGCCUUCGGGUGCCGACGAGUGGCGAACGGGUGAGUAAUGCAUCGGAACGUACCUUUCAGUGGGGGAUAACGUAGCGAAAGUUACGCUAAUACCGCAUAUUCUGUGAGCAGGAAAGCAGGGGAUCGCAAGACCUUGCGCUGAUUGAGCGGCCGAUGUCAGAUUAGCUAGUUGGUGAGGUAAAAGGCUCACCAAGGCGACGAUCUGUAGCGGGUCUGAGAGGAUGAUCCGCCACACUGGAACUGAGACACGGUCCAGACUCCUACGGGAGGCAGCAGUGGGGAAUUUUGGACAAUGGGGGGCAACCCUGAUCCAGCCAUGCCGCGUGAGUGAAGAAGGCCU